ensembl:lncRNA
UGAGGCUGUGGAACUGGAUAGAAGGUAGUGGAAAAGAGCAGUGGGCAGUGGUGCUGAGGUUGGAGAAAGGGACGUGUUUAUGCCUCUUCUUCCCUUACCUUCUCCAAGACACAGCUCUAUUAUUUUUGCUUGCUCUGUUGAUGAUUCAAAAUUUUAGAGUCUUUCUGUGUCCCAGUGUGUCUAUGGUCUGAGCGACCCACCUGGUUCACCUUGGCUUUUGCGGAGAUGAAACACUUCCGGUUUGGUUUUCAGAUGUGAAGCUGCUCUCACUGCGUCUCCAAAGUGAAUCCUGCAGAGGCAUCCACCCCACAUACAGGGGCCUUGGGUGCAGGUAGCAGGGUGAACCUGCAGCUGCUGGGCUGGCCCGGCCCCCAUGGCCGCUCAGCAGUUCACAGGCCUGCGGGGUCCUCCCCACUGCUGAGGGUCCUUGCUAUUGAGAGCUAGAGUUGGGGAGGCCUCUCAGGCAGAACCUGCUGACACCCUCUGCCAUGUUGGAGGGUGCAGGGCUGGGGCUCAUCUGCCCAGGGACUGCUUUCACUGGGGAGGGGCUAGGGCUACAGAUGGCGAGUGCGCCUUGGGAAUGGUGGUUCUGGGGGUCCUGGGCACAUGCUCACUGGAGAGCAGGUCUGGUGUUCUCCAGCUUGUCUCCAGUUGGAGAUAACAUUAAUAUCGCACACUUGCAGCUUUUUCAGGGCACUAGAAGAAUUGAGACUUUCUCUUCAAGGAACAAUGAGAAUUUGUUCUGAGCCUUUGUGAUAAGAAAGGAGAAAGAAAAUCAUUCCUAGAGGCAGGAGAGGGGUGGAAAAUCAUCUCAGCAAAAGGCACAAACUUCUCAUUAUACAUUAUUAUGCUUUCAAAUAAGCAUUUGUGCAAGCCCAUUCUUUGGUUUAAAAUAAAAUGGGUCUUAAGUCUUAAAAGACUAUCUUGGCCAUGUCUUGUUUGGGGAGGAUAAAAAUGAUGGGAGGAAGUUGGUAGAUGAGCUCUUUUGUCCUCGGGCCCAGCCUGGCAAGCUGGGUGCAAGCUGUCACGUGCAGGGUGAUGCUGAGUUCUGCCACAAUCCGUCUUUUGCAGUGAGUGUAGUAGGAAAAUCCCUUGUUAGGAGGAUCCCCAGUGAUUUAGUAAUUACCCCUCACUCCCAGAUGAGAAAGCCAGGACAGAUGGCCCGCACUAAAAUCCCUAUGGAAUGUGAUGUCAUAAUGAGUUUCUUGGUAUAUUUUGAAAUAUGAAAAUACUUCUUCCAGGAGGCAGUUGCAAAGUUAGAAUUGCAGGACUCCAAAGAUAAACUCUGUUGAUUCCCUCUCCCUUUUUAUUAAUUAAAAAAGAAGAAAAAAACCCAAACCAAAAUUUAGGAGCAAUAUUUAAUAUAUAAAGACAAAAGAAGCAGAGACUGCCUAUAUCCUGCAACAUUUAGAGUCUUAGUGAAAAGUCAACACUUAUUUACAGAAGGUGUGUCUGAGUGGAGCUUCAGAGGUUCUGGCUGUACUGAUUUAGCGGAACCUAUGAAAAAGGAAAGAGGUAAGUCUGUGAAUCAGGCAGCCACUGAGCUGGGUGCUUAAAUGAACAGGCUCUGGACUGUUCUGAGCUCAGCAACCCAUUCCCUGGGUGACCCUGGGCAGCUACAGGCCCACUCCAGGUCUCACAGGAAAAAUGGAGAUAUGAAUAGUAUCUCCCUGAAGGGCUGCUAUGUUAGGAAAGCAAACUAGCUCAGGGCUGGCCCGCAGGGACCUCUGGUCACUCCUGUUAUCAUGAGGGCUUGCAGCUGCACCUGCGCCAGUAUGUAUUACAGAAAAGACUUUGAUAUUUGCACUGAGUUUUUUAAAUUGGGGGAAACAACCUCUUUGUCUCUUACUCCUCUUUUCCUUUUUCUUCUUCUCUUUUCUUGGCUGCUUCUUCCCUGCCUUUCUACCCCAAGUGUUGGCACUUCUCUCUCUCCUGCUCCCACAUCUGAAUCAUCAGUGGGCUGCACUGAGCUACCACUGACCUGAAGCAUCAGUGGGCUGCACUGAGCCACCACUGACCGGGUCCAACCUGGUCCUCGGUCUCCCCUUUCCCACUUCACACCUCCUGGUGCUGUUGCUCCUUACCUAAUAAUAAGCUUGUUAAAACUGACUCCAUUCCUUCUACCAAUUUCCAGCUUUCCACACUGAGAGUCUGCUCCCUCCUUUCUUGUCUAAUCUUCCUUAUCAUUCACUCUGAAGGCUUGGCCCUGCUCCUUAACUCUUUUUCAGGCAGUCUCUGCGGCCUCUGGCCUCAGCCACCGUGCCCCCUCCUUAAUUGCUAUCCUUCCACAUCAGCAGAAGUUGUGUCUCUCUCUAUUGGAAUCCUAUGACAUUGUCUAAUACCUCCUCUUUAAAAAAAGAAAUCCUGUGUCAUUUAUCCUGCAAAAGAAAAUCACAUCCACAGAAAAGAAAGUCAUUUCAGUUGUAACUUGUUUGCAAAGACCCACACAAACUUCUUGAAUCAUACAGAAGGUCUUCGUCGUGAAAUUUAAACCACUCCACUCCCCACUGCCCAACCCAGAGGGUCUUCCAUCUCCUGUUCUUCAACAGUUUCCCCACGAGACCUCAGCCUCCAGAUCGCCCUUCCCCAACGUGGUGAACUGAGUGUUUUUCUGUGCUCAAAUAAGCUGGUCUGGGAGAGCAUGGAUCUGGUCAUCUUUUAUGAGCACAUUAGUCUUCUGCCUAAUAUAAGCUAUUGAAAGCACUCAGCUACUUGGGAAGCAGCAGAAAGUUGUUAGAUUCAGUUGUGUCUUACAGCUCUGAUGACCUUUGAUUUGUACCUUUUUUAAAGAUGGUUUUGGUCAACCAAACCAUUAAGGGCUUACCCUAUCAAGCCCUUAAUAUUCUCUCAAAGUUGAGAUAGGUCUAUUUUCUUGGCUGCUUCUUCCCUGCCUUUCUACCCCAAGUGUUGGCACUUCUCUCUCUCCUGCUCCCACAUCUGAAUCAUCAGUGGGC